rnacentral:rRNA from 1 species
GGGGGGGGGGGGGGGGGGGCGGAGGGGGUGGGGGUCGGGCGGGGGGGCCGUGGGUGGGUGGGGGGCUGGGGGGGGGAAGGGGGGGGGAAGACGGGAGUAACCUGCCCUUGACUUUGGGAUAACUUCAGGAAACUGGGGCUAAUACCGGAUAGGAGCCCCGGCUGCAUGGUGGGGGUUGGAAAGUUUCGGCGGGUGGGGAUGGACUCGCGGCUUAUCGGUUUGUUGGUGGGGUAGUGGCUGACCAAGGCGUUGACGGGUAGCCGGCCUGGGAGGGUGACCGGCCACAUUGGGACUGAGAUACGGCCCAGAGUCCUACGGGAGGCAGCAGUGGGGAAUAUUGCACAAUGGGCGGAAGCCUGAUGCAGCAACGCCGCGGGCGGGACGACGGCCUUCGGGGUGUAAACCGCUUUCGCCUGUGACGAAGCGUGAGUGACGGUAAUGGGUAAAGAAGCACCGGCUAACUACGUG